GUUAAGCGUGCUUGGGCGAGAG
rnacentral:snRNA from 1 species